rnacentral:rRNA from 1 species
CGGGGUGAGUAAUGUCUGGGGAACUGCCUGAUGGAGGGGGAUAACUGCUGGAAACGGUAGCUAAUACCGCAUAACGUCGCAAGACCAAAGAGGGGGACCUUCGGGCCUCUUGCCAUCGGAUGUGCCCAGAUGGGAUUAGCUAGUAGGUGGGGUAACGGCUCACCUAGGCGACGAUCCCUAGCUGGUCUGAGAGGAUGACCAGCCACACUGGAACUGAGACACGGUCCAG